UGGAAAUGGAAUCUUAUAGUCUUCUGCCUGUGUUGUGGAAUGCCUUUGCCUUCCUGAAUCAUUUGUAUACAGAAAGCAGCUUACUCUUGGAUGUGUUAGAA
rnacentral:lncRNA from 12 species